rnacentral:rRNA from 1 species
AUUGAACGCUGGCGGCACGCCUAACACAUGCAAGUCGAGCGGCAGCAUGCUUAGUAGCAAUACUAAGUGAUGGCGAGCGGCGGACGGGUGAGGAACACGUAGGAACCUGCCCAAGAGAGGGGGAUAACUAAGGGAAACUUUAGCUAAUACCGCAUAAUCUCUGAGGAGAAAAGUUGCCCGUAAGGGUAGCGCUUUUGGAGGGGCCUGCGUCCGAUUAGCUAGUUGGUGAGGUAAUAGCUCACCAAGGCGAUGAUCGGUAACUGGUCUGAGAGGACGACCAGUCACACUGGGACUGAGACACGGCCCAGACUCCUACGGGAGGCAGCAGUGGGGAAUCUUGGACAAUGGGGGCAACCCUGAUCCAGCGAUGCCGCGUGGGUGAAGAAGGCCUUCGGGUUGUAAAGCCCUUUAGGCUGGGAAGAAGAAUGUGGGAUGAAUAAUCCUGUAUUUUGACGGUACCAGCAGAAUAAGCACCGGCAAACUCUGUGCCAGCCGCCGCCGUAAAAC